rnacentral:rRNA from 1 species
UACGAAGGGGGCUAGCGUUGCUCGGAAUUACUGGGCGUAAGGCGCACGUAGGCGGCUCUUUAAGUCGGGGGUGAAAUCCUGGAGCUCAACUCCAGAACUGCCUUCGAUACUGAAGAGCUUGAGUCCGGGAGAGGUGAGUGGAACUGCGAGUGUAGAGGUGAAAUUCGUAGAUAUUCGCAAGAACACCAGUGGCGAAGGCGGCUCACUGGCCCGGUACUGACGCUGAGGUGCGAAAGCGUGGGGAGCAAACAGG